GAUGAACGCUGGCGGCGUGCCUAAUACAUGCAAGUCGAGCGAACGGACGAGGAGCUUGCUCCUCUGAUGUUAGCGGCGGACGGGUGAGUAACACGUGGAUAACCUACCUAUAAGACUGGGAUAACUUCGGGAAACCGUAGCUAAUACCGGAUAAUAUUUUGAACCGCAUGGUUCAAAAGUGAAAGACGGUCUUGCUGUCACUUAUAGAUGGAUCCGCGCGGCAUUAGCUAGUUGGUAAGGUAACGGCUUACCAGGGCAACGAUGCAUAGCCGACCUGAGAGGGUGAUCGGCCACACUGGAACUGAGAACCGGUCCAGACUCCUAAGGGAGGCAGCAGUAGGGAAUCUUCCGCAAUGGGCGAAAGCCUGACGGAGAAACGCCGCGUGAGGGAUGAAGGUCUUCGGAUCGUAAAACUCUGUUAUUAGGGAAGAACAUAUGUGUAAGUAACUGUGCACAUCUUGACGGUACCUAAUCAGAAAGCCACGGCUAACUACGUG
rnacentral:rRNA from 1 species